UACUCGAGUUAAGACUGCACUAGGGCGGCAGAACGAAGCAGCUAUUGGGGCGCGCCGCGGGCGACCAUGUCGGAGAAAGGCCCAAGCGCAAGCGAGGAGACAAAAGGGAGUAGAGGAGGCGGAGGUGCGCGUGGGUGGGGGCGAUCGCAAGGCGGCGCGGGCUGGGUGCUGAACGUGUCGGGGCCGGGGAGGCUAUGCGCCACCGCCGCCGCUUGCCGAAGCCUCCCGCCGGCACUGGAGACGAAGCGCGCGAUUGCGAGUUUGCGAUCCACCAGCUAGCUGGCCGGCCACCCACGGCCCACCUUGGCUCAGCCCCGCCGCUACAAGAUUUUGUUGGACUGGGCCGAUUGGAUCGGCCCAAACGGCAGCAGAAUGAGGCCUUUGUUUCGUUGAUGAUUGUUCUCGGAACGUUUGGCUUGGAACUCCUCUACCAUGCAGGCAUGCAGCAUGAAACCUGUGCUGCAAUUCAGCACCUGGGAAGAACACCAUGCAGUGCUUCUGACAUUUUAUCCACUCAUCUAAUCAAUUGGCUCCAAGCGGGGUACGCUUGCUUCAGAUGCCUAAACAAAGAUGUGGGCAGGGAUGAACCCUCUCAAGCACCAUGGAACUGGACUCCACUGCACUCUUCGCAAACAGAGAAAUGCAGAGGCACCUUUUUUUUACGACAGUGAGACUGCAUGAAACAGAAGAUCAAUAAGUCAAAUCUCGUGAAAACAAACAAACAUGCGACGGCUUCAAGCCUAAACAUAUCCAAAGAUGAAAUGGUCGAUUAAACAUGAUUAUCCUUCGAGUCUGCUGCCGCCUGAUCUGUCCCAAGUUUCCAAGCCAAUCCUUUGUUGCUUAUUGUUUCAUCCAGUUUGCUGUUGCGAGGAAGGCCUCGAACUAUAGUAACUCCUCGAGAAGGCUAGGCAUGCCUUCACAUUUAUCAGAUGCGAAGACACAAAGCAAGAAUCGUCUGACAUGGAUGAGGUUCAAAACUGGAGACGACUUUUCCAGAUUUAACAAACCUACAACAAACCAAUAAACGUCACCUUCUGCGGUUUCAGAGAAGCUUCUUAAGCAGUCAGAUUUUGAUUUCUGCAUAUUAGAUCGUUCUCAACUUUGAACAGUAAAACAUUAUACAGCUAAGUCCAGUCAAAGUCUUUAGCUUAAUGCUAAGCUCGCCUACGUUAGUUAAGAACCGAUCGUCGAAACUAACAACAGAUAGAUCAGCAGCAUACAUUAUCUGAAAGGCAAUUCUGAGCUACAACUACUUUAGAUAAUGUAAGAUAUCCUAGUCUAAUAUGCAUAAUCACCUCAUAACCCACAACUACUUCCAUAAAACCUAGGAUCUUGCCCGGUUAGUAAUGCAUAAUCACAUCUGCGCACUGGAUUAGCUAGGUAAUUAGAAAGAAAGUGCCUUAACAGGAGGCCACCAUACCUCCUGGCCAUGGAAGAAGCAUUUGUCCUCCUGAUGCUCAUCACCUUCCCGGUGAUAGUGUUAGC
rnacentral:lncRNA from 1 species